GGGUGACUCCUUGGCGCUUGCGCGCUGUUUUGAUGAAGAUUCGCACCUCUAUCAAAAUGGGUAACCCCACCUCUUGGCAAGGCCUUACUAUCAGAUCAAGUCUGAACUUCUACACCUAAGGUGUAAGAUCUCUCGGCAGGUUGAAUUCCAAAGUGAGCGAGGACGAAUCCAGGGUCGAUUGAUGUAUGCUUAGCAUCACUCCACUCUAUAUUCUACGAGAUAUGCGCCGGAAUAACCGAAAUUACCUUUUUCACACUGGCG
rnacentral:sRNA from 1 species